GACGAACGCUGGCGGCGUGCCUAAUACAUGCAAGUCGAGCGGACAGAAGGGAGCUUGCUCCCGGACGUUAGCGGCGGACGGGUGAGUAACACGUAGGUAACCUGCCCCUUAGACUGGGAUAACUCCGGGAAACCGGAGCUAAUACGGGAUAAUAAAGAGAAUCACCUGAUUCUCUUUUGAAAGACGGCGUCUAGCUGUCACUAAGGGAUGGGCCUGCGGCGCAUUAGCUAGUUGGUAAGGUAACGGCUUACCAAGGCGACGAUGCGUAGCCGACCUGAGAGGGUGAUCGGCCACACUGGGACUGAGACACGGCCCAGACUCCUACGGGAGGCAGCAGUAGGGAAUCUUCCGCAAUGGACGAAAGUCUGACGGAGCAACGCCGCGUGAGUGAGGAAGGCCUUCGGGUCGUAAAGCUCUGUUGUGAGGGAAGAACAAGUACCGGGGUAACUACCGGUACCUUGACGGUACCUCACCAGAAAGCCACGGCUAACUACGUGCCAGCCGCCGCAGUAA
rnacentral:rRNA from 1 species